GGCCUAGUGGUCUAGUAGAAUGAUUGUCGUUUCGGGUGUCUUCCCCGGACUAGGGUUAGUCCUUAUGACAGGUCCCGGGUUCAAUUCCCGGCUAGGCCC